rnacentral:tmRNA from 1 species
AUAACCCGUGCAAAAAAAUAAGUGCCAAUAAAACGGCCACUGAUUUCGCCCUCGCUGCAUAAGCGAGCCUUCGAAAUCCGUUAGCCCAGGGUCGCUCUCGACCUGGAAUCUAGCGUCGCUAGAGAGCUCUACCUGCCAGAGGCGCAUCGAACUCUGUUGGGGAAAUCUUUUCGAUGAUGAGUCCGGCGAUCACUUGUACGCGUGUGGAUCGGGACUGAGAAACCACUUAGCGUAAUACGCCCGUAGAAGCCCUGGUUUAAUGCCGAAGGACGCGGGUUCGAUUCCCGCCACCUCCACCG